rnacentral:rRNA from 1 species
AGUGAACGCUGGCAGUAGGCCUAACACAUGCAAGUCGAACGGCAGCACAGUAAGAGCUUGCUCUUACGGGUGGCGAGUGGCGGACGGGUGAGGAAUACAUCGGAAUCUACUUUUUCGUGGGGGAUAACGUAGGGAAACUUACGCUAAUACCGCAUACGACCUACGGGUGAAAGCAGGGGAUCUUCGGACCUUGCGCGAUUGAAUGAGCCGAUGUCGGAUUAGCUAGUUGGCGGGGUAAAGGCCCACCAAGGCGACGAUCCGUAGCUGGUCUGAGAGGAUGAUCGGCCACCCUGAAAUUGGGACCCGGCCCAGACUCCAACGGAGGGCAGAAGUGGGAAUAUUGGACAAUGGGCGCAAGCCUGAUCCAGCCAUACCGCGUGGGUGAAGAAGGCCUUCGGGUUGUAAAGCCCUUUUGUUGGGAAAGAAAAGCAGCAGGUUAAUACCCCGCUGUUCUGACGGUACCCAAAGAAUAAGCACCGGCUAACUUCGU